rnacentral:misc_RNA from 1 species
GAUGAAGAACGUAGUGAAAUGCGAUAACUAAUGUGAAUUGCAGAAUUCCGUAAAUCAUCGAGUCUUUGAACGCACAUUGCGCCCCCUGGUAUUCCGGGGGGCAUGCCUGUCCGAGCGUCAUUGCUGCCCAUCAAGCACGGCUUGUGUGUUGGGUCCUCGUCCCCCCCGGGGGACGUGCCCGAAAGGCAGCGGCGGCACCGCGUCCGGUCCUCGAGCGUAUGGGGCUUUGUCACCCGCUCUGCAGGCCCGGCCGGCGCUGGCCGACGCGAAAGCAACCAUUUUUUCUCCAGGUUGACCUCGGAUCAGGUAGGGAUACCCGCUGAACUUAAGCAUAUCAAUAAGCGGAGGA